rnacentral:tRNA from 1 species
CAGGAAGUAGUUUAAUGAGAAUGUCAGCUUUGGGUGUUGAUGGUGAGGCGUAUUGUCUUCUUCUUGA